GGAAAGCUGGUGGUGGCUUUGGAAAAAAGGCAGAGCUUUAUUUGUGGCAGUGUAUAGUAGUGCUCGACUAAGUGUUUCAUGGCUCUGCUUCUUCUUCAUGCUAUCAUUGAUGUUCAUCAUUUGUCCUCUACUUUUUCAGGUCUUGUAGCUGCAGUUUUUCUUGCUUGAUUUAGAGGGGCGCUGCUGGAUUAGUGUUUGAGUGUUGCAGCUUUCCUUCUUCAUUUUUUUUUUCUUCCCCUGCUUGCUUCCUUAUGGGUUCUGUUUUGUUGCUCCAAUUUUUUUCUCUUUGGUCUUGCUUAAUCUGUCUUUGUGGUUUGCUCUUUUAAUGAAAGAUUGAUGACUUUGCUUUUGCCUUUUUCUUUUUUCCAGUUUAUUAUAUCUUUAACAGCUUCCAUUCUUCCUUUUGAGUUGUUGGUUAGGUUUCUUUGUUGAAGUUCGAUCUCUUUAGGCAGAUUCGCUUCUGUAUUUUUUUUAUUUUGCCUUCUUUUUUCCCCUCCCAUAUGUUUAUGCCCAAAUUGAGGCAUUGUUUGCUGUGUUUUCCCUACAAUGUUUGUUUAAAUUCAGGAGAUGGUUCGUGUUUAUGUAGAUUUUUGUGUAGAAAUUUCUUCAUCCCUGUCAUGUUAAAUAAUUUAAGGGUUUCAAACUCUUUAUAGUUUAUACUUAACGAGAUUGUUCGAAGCAUGGUCGAAGGGAAAAUUUCCCACCUGCUACUGUGGGAAUAUAACAAUGGCUUCUGUUACUCAGUCAAAAAUAAAAGAGUGAAUACCAUAAGCAUGGGUAUUGCUAGAGCUAGGAAUUCAAUAUCAAUACUUUUGCUUGAAUGUCAUUUAUGGUUGAUGACUUCUUUUUUUCCCUUUUCACAGUUUGGGUGUUAGAUUGGAAGGCAGCAACACACCAGCUUUUUGGAUAUAUAGUCGCCUUGAUGCCCUACUCUCGAUUCAGUUCAUAUGGCUGAUUUCUAUAGUUUUAAUCUUUGAGCAAUUUAAAUGCAGUCUGCUUAGAAGUUGAGAUGAGAAGAUGAAGGCUUAAGCUGAAGCAGACCAUGGAAAUGUACAGCAGUACAGCUUGCAAAGAAGCACUUUCUGCAAAAACGAAAGUAGUUCCAUUUCAUCAUCAACUGCACAAAAAAAUUGAAAGAAGUUCGCUGUCAUUGAACUCAAUCCUGCAUUUGAACAUGGACUCAGUUGGCUCAGGAAGGAACUUAACUGAAGAUAUCAAUGUCUCACAAUUGAAGAUAUCAACGUCUCCAAAGAUUACCCCUGCGAAGUGCGGGCAUCAAAUCUAAGUGUAUAUAUAUAUAUUUAUAUAAAGGUUCAUAAAAUUUUCUUCACGUACGGCUCAUGAACUUUUUUUCAUUCAAACCCGCUGGGGCUAAAAGCCUAUCAUGGACCCACAUUGUUAUUGUGUGUAUAU